rnacentral:rRNA from 1 species
ACGGGAGGCAGCAGUGAGGAAUAUUGGUCAAUGGACGAGAGUCUGAACCAGCCAAGUAGCGUGCAGGAUGACGGCCCUAUGGGUUGUAAACUGCUUUUGUACGGGAAUAAAGUGACCUACGUGUAGGUUUUUGCAUGUACCGUAAGAAUAAGGACCGGCUAAUUCCGUGCCAGCAGCCGCGGUAAUACGGGAGGAUCCGAGUGUUAUCCGGAUUUAUUGGGUUUAAAGGGUGCGUAGGCGGUGGAUCAAGUCAGUGGUGAAAUGGUGCGGCUCAACCGUAGCAUUGCCGUUGAAACUGGUUUACUUGAGUGCGAAUGAGGUGGGCGGAAUGUGUCAUGUAGCGGUGAAAUGCAUAGAUAUGACACAGAACACCGAUUGCGGAGGCAGCUCACUGGGACGCGACUGACGCUGAGGCACGAAAGUGCGGGGAUCGAACAGGAUUAGAUACCCUGGUA